AUGAUCUCUAGAUCAAGUGGUGGGGGGCUAUACUUAGGUUGCCAACAAUUUAAAAGAUUUAACUUAUUCUGUUCUUUGAUAUCGGUUGACGGGAACCAGGAUAAUUGACAACAAUCUUAGUGGGUCCAUACCUAAUUUCAUAGAGAAUUGGAGACAACUCAAUAAACUAGAACUAAUUGGGACGGGGCUUUCGGGACUGAUUCCUUCAUCCAUUUC
rnacentral:lncRNA from 1 species